GUCCUUACUUUGACAGCACAUAUACUAAAAUUGGACUGAUACGGAGAAGAUUAGCACACCCGAUGUGCAAGGCAAACUCAUGAAGUGUUCUAUAUUUUC
ensembl:snRNA U6 U6 spliceosomal RNA